GCGGUCUGUCAAGUCGGAUGUGAAAUCCCCGGGCUCAACCUGGGAACUGCAUUCGAAACUGGCAGGCUAGAGUCUUGUAGAGGGGGGUAGAAUUCCAGGUGUAGCGGUGAAAUGCGUAGAGAUCUGGAGGAAUACCGGUGGCGAAGGCGGCCCCCUGGACAAAGACUGACGCUCAGGUGCGAAAGCGUGGGGAGCAAACAGGAUUAGAUACCCUGGUAGUCCACGCCGUAAACGAUGUCGAUUUGGAGGUUGUGCCCUUGAGGCGUGGCUUCCGGAGCUAACGCGUUAAAUCGACCGCCUGGGGAGUACGGCCGCAAGGUUAAAACUCAAAUGAAUUGACGGGGGCCCGCACAAGCGGUGGAGCAUGUGGUUUAAUUCGAUGCAACGCGAAGAACCUUACCUG
rnacentral:rRNA from 2 species